GAUAAAUGUAGGUGCUAGGUAAGUAAUACCUUUCGCACCAUCGGGGCCGAGCACUUCAGGUUGACGGCCGAGUCCGCUCUGCGAUCGUCUCCAAGGGGCAUUCUUUAAAGGUGGUCUUCUGCAGAUCGGGGGGUCUGUAAAGGUCCCCGUUUUUGCCAAUCUUUUCGCGGUCGGGGAAAGUCAUCACGGAAAAUCCUGGUUUUUGCCGAUGGAUGCAAGGCCGAAGAUGCUCGGGCUUGCAGUCGACCCACGAUACUACCCGAGGUCGAGGGAGUUUGGAACCGGUUCUCGGGGCAUUCCGACUUCAGUCGGAGAAUCGAGAUCAACACCUGGGACUCGGGCUUGCAGUUGAUCCGGUGGCACAUCCCGAGGUCGAGGAAGUUUGAGACUCUACGGUCGACUCACGGGGCAUCCCGAACUCUGUCGAGGUGUCGUGCG
rnacentral:lncRNA from 1 species